UACUAGCUGUUCAAGUCGCAGCCAUCUUUAUUGGGUCUAAAAUAUCCGUAGCUUGCUUAAGAAGUUCCUUGUGAAAUCUUGUCUCCCAAGGGCGAGGCGUGCAAGGAAUACUCUUGAGCUUGAGAUUGGAAGACGUAAGAAGUACGUUCGGAGUAGCGGUAAAAUGUGUUAAUCCCGGACGGACUCACAACAGCGAAGGCAUCUUACGAGGACAGUUCUGACAGUUAAGGAUGAAGGCUAGGGGC
rnacentral:rRNA from 1 species